GGCUAUUUCUCAUGCAAGCGACGACGGAUCUACUCACUAGAAAUGGCAGCAUGAUAGCCAAUAUAUUGGAGCCCCCUUGUGGCAAAUGCAGAAGAUUGACUUGACGAGUCGCGAUACUUGUGUGCCAGAAGGACAGCUCAUUACAUCACCCUGGGUGACUCCAUCUCCCUCAAGAGAAAGGAGAAAUGACAAUUCAAUUGGUUUGCAAGUCCAAUGAACAUAAAUCACAAGCUCAACUCAAGAAUCCAGAGUGUGAAGACUCUGGGAUGGCAAGGAUGAUCAAACUCUCGCCCGUAUGCUGCAGUGUGCCGAGAGCUGGGCAAUGUUGUCAAUUUCUGCCUGAAUGGCUCUCAGGUUGCUGGUCAUUCUACCACUCAAAGUGUGCAGUGAAGAGGAAGAUAAACAGAGCACAGGAAAGCCAAGAGUUUUCACUCUCAGAAGUCAGUUUAUCCAGUGGCUCUCAUAAUGCUAAUGUGAGACCCGUGUCCCACCAACCACGUGAUCGAUCGUCCAGUGAUGCGUCCAGCACGUGUGGUCUCACCCUGCCUGUGGAGAGCAGGAAGGAGAUGGGUCCUCCACCUGAUAAUGUUGUAUGCCUCGCUAAACAAAACGACCCAAUCAGGAGUCAGCACAUUGUGGAGAUAGCCCCUGCCCCCUGGGAGAGGGACGCUGUUUUGCGUGUGGAGCUGUGGGACUUGGGGCGGGACUGUGGAAAGCCACGCUACAGAAUGGAGUGGGAGCUCUCAGAGGGGUUCACGCUGUUGGGAACAGGUGUCUGGCUCUCCAGGAUUGUCAAGUGAAAAUGAGAUGAAACAGUCCUACAGAAACAAAGAUAAAUCCAGCUGGGCAGGGUGGCAUGGGGGAAGACUUACAGGCUCUCAACAGCUGUCUUCUGUAUGUUGCCGUACCUGUAACCCAUGACUACAUCACAGAUGCUCACCUCUCUAAUGUGGAAAGCUCAUCGCCAGCCACUCCACAGAACAUACCUAAUGAGGACCUGGAGGCAACCUCACCAUCGAUCCCCAGAUUUUAUUCUUAGUCUUUAUUUGAAUGUAAAAACUGAAGCAAGCAGUCUGCAGGGAAACUAAUGAUGAAAUCCAAACAGUGUACAGUUGCUAUUCAAAGCAAAUCGAAUAAUCGAACAACGCACAUUGUCUUUAAAUUAAAACAAUUAGGUGUUUCCUGUUCUCAACCUCUGCGACUUUUGUGUCAGUGCUUCAUGAUUGUUUUAGAUCAAAUUCAUUUCUGCUCUUAUUUCACUAUAUCUGCAUGGAUGUACUUCACCAGGAAAUAUGAAACCAACAUUGUCGCUAAACAAGCAAGACAAUGCCUCUACCUCUACAAAAUGGAAACUUUUGGCCGUGCAGGCCCUGAUGAUGCAGGUGCUGACAGAAUGUCCAGUCAGCACCAUAUGUACAGCUGCCAGCUUUAGAGAUACUGGGAAUGCUCUCCGCACAGACAGCUCAAAACACAAACAGAAGACCAAGCU